rnacentral:rRNA from 1 species
AUUGAACGCUGGCGGCAGGCCUAACACAUGCAAGUCGAGCGGUAGAGAGGUGCUUGCAUCUCUUGAGAGCGGCGGACGGGUGAGUAAUGCCUAGGAAUCUGCCUGGUGGUGGGGGAUAACGUUCGGAGACGGACGCUAAUACCGCAUACGUCCUACGGGAGAAAGCGGGGGAUCUUCGGACCUCGCGCCAUUAGAUGAGCCUAGGUCGGAUUAGCUAGUUGGUGAGGUAAUGGCUCACCAAGGCGACGAUCCGUAACUGGUCUGAGAGGAUGAGCAGUCACACUGGAACUGAGACACGGUCCAGACGCCUACGGGAGGCAGCAGUGGGGAAUAUUGGACAAUGGGCGAAAGCCUGAUCCAGCCAUGCCGCGUGUGUGAAGAAGGUCUUCGGAUUGUAAAGCACUUUAAGUUGGGAGGAAGGGUCGUAACCUAAUACGUUGCGGCUUUGACGUUACCGACAGAAUAAGCACCGGCUAACUUCGUGCCAGCCGCCGCCGUAACAC